AAUAGAUACCCGGGUAGUCCACGCCGUAAACGAUGGACACUAGGUGUGGGGGGUAUCGACCCCCUCCGUGCCGCAGCUAACGCAAUAAGUGUCCCGCCUGGGGAGUACGGCCGCAAGGCUAAAACUCAAAGGAAUUGACGGGGGGCCCGCACAAGCAGCGGAGCGUGCGGUUUAAUUCGUCGCAACGCGAAGAACCUUACCAAGGCUUGACAUGCUAGUGGUACUGAUCCGAAAGGUGAGGGACCCUUCGGGGAGCUAGCACAGGUGCUGCAUGGCUGUCGUCAGCUCGUGCCGUGAGGUGUUGGGUUAAGUCCCGCAACGAGCGCAACCCCCGUUGCCAGUUGUAUUCUCUGGCGAGACUGCCCCGUAAAGCGGGGAGGAAGGCGGGGAUGAAGUCAAGUCAGCACGGCCCUUACGUCUUGGGCCACUCGCACGCUACAAUGGCCGGUACAACAGGUCGCGAAGGAGCGAUCCGGAGCUAAUCCCCAAAGCCGGCCUCAGUUCAGAUUGCAGGCUGAAACCCGCCUGCAUGAAGGCGGAGUUGCUAGUAACCG
rnacentral:rRNA from 1 species